CAGGGCCAUGCCUACACCGUCACAGGAGCUGUGAAGGUCCCCUACAAGAAUGGCUGGAAACAUAUCAUCAGGAUCUGGAAUCCAUGGGGCCAUGGGGAGUGGAAGGGGCCCUGGAGUGAUAACUCUCCUCAGUGGGACCGUGUUGAGCCUAAAUACAGAGAAGCCCUCCUCAGAAAUAAAGAUGAUGGAGAAUUCUGGAUGUGCUGUAAGGAUUUCCAGGAGCAGUUUUCAUGGCUGUACAUAUGUAACAACACCCCAACAUUCCUGGACUUUGGAGAUGAGCACGGCACAGCAGCGUGGUCUCUGACCAGCUACAGCAACCUGUGGAGCCCGGGCCUUCCCUCCAGGAGGAGCCGC
rnacentral:lncRNA from 1 species